ACCUGCCCAAUGAUCUUAAACUUAAAAAAUAUAACUAUUUUUAAAAAGAUUUAAAGGACGCAGUAUCCUGACUGUGAUAAUGUAGCAUAAUCAUUCGCCAUUUAAUUGAUGGAUAGUAUGAAUGGUUGAACGAAUUCUUCACUGUCUUAAAAAAAGAAAUAAUGAAAUUUAAAUAAUAGUAAAGAUGCUAUUUAAAAUUGUAAGACGAAAAGACCCUAUAGAGCUUAACUAUAAGUUCUUUUAGUUAAAAGAACAUAAUUCUCAAAAUAAAGAACUUGGUAGUUUAGUUGGGGCGACUAUCUUCUAAUAUUAACGAAGACAAGCAAAAUUAAUAUAUAAUUUAUUGUAUAACCUAUAAGUUUAACAAUUACAAAAGUAGGCAUAAUGACCCGUUUUCAUUUAGUAAUUAAAGAAAACGAUCAAUAAAUAAAAGCUACCUUAGGGAUAACAGGAUAAUUUUGUUUUAGAGAUCCUAUCGAAAACAAAGUUUGUCACCUCUAUGUUGAAUUAAGAUAUCCUAGUAAUGCAGAAGUUACUAAAGGUAGGUCUGUUCGACCUUUAA
rnacentral:rRNA from 1 species